rnacentral:rRNA from 1 species
UGGGGAAUAUUGCGCAAUGGGCGGAAGCCUGACGCAGCGACGCCGCGUGAGGGAUGAAGGUUUUCGGAUCGUAAACCUCUGUCGGAAGGGAAGAAAGUGCGUGGUGCCAAUCAGCCGCGUAUUGACGGUACCUUCAAAGGAAGCACCGGCUAACUCCGUGCCAGCAGCCGCGGUAAUACGGAGGGUGCGAGCGUUAAUCGGAAUUACUGGGCGUAAAGCGCACGUAGGCUGUUGUGUAAGUCAGGGGUGAAAGCCCACGGCUCAACCGUGGAACUGCCCUUGAUACUGCAUGACUGGAAUCCGGGAGAGGGUGGCGGAAUUCCAGGUGUAGGAGUGAAAUCCGUAGAUAUCUGGAGGAACAUCGGUGGCGAAGGCGGCCGCCUGGACCGGUAUUGACGCUGAGGUGCGAAAGCGUGGGGAGC